UUCUUAUCAAGAGAGGUGGAGGGACUGGCCCUUUGAAGCCUCGGCAACGGAUGUGAUGAUCGAUCACGAACUGUGCCAAAUCCAGCAGGUGCAUACCUGAAAGAUGAGAA
rnacentral:ncRNA from 2 species